ACGCACGCUGGCGGCGUGCUUCACACCUGCCAGUCGAACGGUGAAGCGCUUUCCUUUUUGGUUGGUGUGGAUGAGUGGCGAACGGGUGAGUAACACGUGAGUAACCUGCCCCCUUCUUCUGGAUAACCGCAUGAAAGUGUGGCUAAUACGGGAUAUUCUGCGCCUGCUGCAUGGUGGGUGUGGGAAAGAUUGUGCCUUUGGGUGUUUUCGGUGGGGGAUGGGCUCGCGGCCUAUCAGCUUGUUGGUGGGGUGAUGGCCUACCAAGGCGGUGACGGGUAGCCGGCCUGAGAGGGUGGACGGUCACACUGGGACUGAGACACGGCCCAGACUCCUACGGGAGGCAGCAGUGGGGAAUAUUGCACAAUGGGCGCAAGCCUGAUGCAGCGACGCCGCGUGAGGGAGGGAGGCCUUCGGGUUGUGAACCUCUUUCGCCAGUGAAGCAGGCCUGCUCCUUGUGGGUGGGUUGACGGUAGCUGGAUAAGAAGCGCCGGCUAACUACGUG
rnacentral:rRNA from 1 species